rnacentral:rRNA from 1 species
GAAUAUUGCUCAAUGGGCGAAAGCCUGAAGCAGCAACACCGCGUGCGCGAUGAAGGCCCUCGGGUCGUAAAGCGCUUUUGUGAGGGAAGAGUAAGGACGGUACCUCACAAAUAAGGAUCGGCUAACUACGUGCCAGCAGCCGCGGUAACACGUAGGAUCCAAACGUUAUCCGGAUUUACUGGGCGUAAAGCGCGUGCAGGCGGUUUGGUAAGUUGGAUGUGAAAUCUCCGGGCUCAACCCGGAGGUGUCGUUCAAAACUACCAGACUAGAGGACGGUAGAGGAAGGUGGAAUUCCGGGUGUAGUAGUGAAAUGCGUAGAUAUCCGGAGGAACACCAGUGGCGAAGGCGGCCUUCUGGGCCGUUCCUGACGCUCAGACGCGAAAGCUAGGGUAGCGAAC